UUGCACGCUGGCGGCAGGCCUAACCCAUGCAAGUCGAAUGGUAACAGGAAACAGCUUGCUGUUUCGCUGACGAGUGGCGGACGGGUGAGUAGUGUCUGGGAAACUGCCUGAUGGAGGGGGAUAACUACUGGAAACGGUAGCUAAUACCGCAUAACGUCGCAAGACCAAAGAGGGGGACCUUCGGGCCUCUUGCCAUCAGAUGUGCCCAGAUGGGAUUAGCUAGUAGGUGGGGUAACGGCUCACCUAGGCGACGAUCCCUAGCUGGUCUGAGAGGAUGACCAGCCACACUGGAACUGAGACACGGUCCAGACUCCUACGGGAGGCAGCAGUGGGGAAUAUUGCACAAUGGGCGCAAGCCUGAUGCAGCCAUGCCGCGUGUAUGAAGAAGGCCUUCGGGUUGUAAAGUACUUUCAGCGGGGAGGAAGGGAGUAAAGUUAAUACCUUUGCUCAUUGACGUUACCCGCAGAAGAAGCACCGGCUAACUCCGUG
rnacentral:rRNA from 1 species